UACGUAGGGGGCUAGCGUUGUCCGGAAUCAUUGGGCGUAAAGAGCGUGUAGGCGGCCCGGUAAGUCCGCUGUGAAAGUCGGGGGCUCAACCCUCGGAUGCCGGUGGAUACUGUCGGGCUCGAGUACGGAAGAGGCGAGUGGAAUUCCUGGUGUAGCGGUGAAAUGCGCAGAUAUCAGGAGGAACACCUAUUGCGAAGGCAGCUCGCUGGGACGUUACUGACGCUGAGACGCGAAGCGUG
rnacentral:rRNA from 1 species